UACGUAGGGUGCAAGCGUUAAUCGGAAUUACUGGGCGUAAAGGGCGCGUAGGCGGCGUGACAAGUCACUUGUGAAAUCUCCGGGCUUAACUCGGAACGGUCAAGUGAUACUGUCGUGCUAGAGUACAGAAGGGGCAACUGGAAUUCUCGGUGUAGCGGUGAAAUGCGUAGAUAUCUGGAGGAACACCGGUGGCGAAGGCGGCAUCCUGGACCGGUAUUGACGCUGAGGCGCGAAAGCCAGGGGAGCAAACGGG
rnacentral:rRNA from 1 species